rnacentral:rRNA from 1 species
GUACUGAAACGUGCAUAUGAAGGAGGAUUUAGCAGUAAGCAGGAAAUAGAGCGUCCCGCUGAAACUGGCCCUGAAGCGCGCACACACCGCCCGUCACUCUCCCCAAAGACGCCAAGCAAAUUAACUAAAACCUAACAAUUAACAAGGGGAGGCAAGUCGUAACAUGGUAAGUGUACCGGAAGGUGCGCUUGGAAAAAUC